AAGCACGACCACACCAACGUGCGAUUGCCCGAUCUCGAACGCAAAGCAGGGACGGACCUGGUCAGUACUGGAAUGGGAGACCACCUUGGAAGACCAGCGGGUUGCGUGAG
rnacentral:rRNA from 12 species